rnacentral:rRNA from 1 species
AACAAACGCUGGCGGCGUGCCUAAUACAUGCAAGUCGAACGGGGAAAGCUUUCGGGUGAGUACUAGUGGCGCACGGGUGAGUAACGCGUGGAUAAUCUGCCUUAGAGUGGGGGAUAACUAGUCGAAAGAUUAGCUAAUACCGCAUAAGACCACAGGAGCUGCGGCUCAAGGGGUCAAAGGUUUUUCGCUUUAAGAUGAGUCCGCGUAAGAUUAGCUAGUUGGUGAGGUAACGGCUCACCAAGGCGACGAUCUUUAACUGGUCUGAGAGGAUGAUCAGUCACACUGGAACUGAGACACGGUCCAGACUCCUACGGGAGGCAGCAGUAGGGAAUAUUGCACAAUGGAGGAAACUCUGAUGCAGCGACGCCGCGUGAGUGAUGAAGGCCUUCGGGUCGUAAAGCUCUGUCGCAGGGGAAUAACACAAUGAAGGUACCCUGUAAGAAAGGAUCGGCUAACUUCGUGCCAGCCGCCGCGGUAA